rnacentral:misc_RNA from 1 species
GAUGAAGAACGUAGCGAAAUGCGAUACUUGGUGUGAAUUGCAGAAUCCCGUGAACCAUCGAGUCUUUGAACGCAAGUUGCGCCCGAAGCCAUUAGGCCGAGGGCACGCCUGCCUGGGCGUCACACGUCGUUGCCCCCCCAUCUACUCCUUCGGGAUUGCGGGGGGCGGAUGAUGGCCUCCCGUGCGCCUCGUCGCGCGGUUGGCAUAAAUGCCAAGUCCUCGGCGACGCACGCCACGACAAUCGGUGGUUGCGAAACCUCGGUUGCCCGUCGUGUGCGGUCGUCGCGCAUCGAGGGCUCGAAAAAAUUGUCGGGCUCCGGCUCGGCUUUCAACGCGACCCCAGGUCAGGCGGGGUUACCCGCUGAAUUUAAGCAUAUCCAUAAGCGGAGGA